GCCGGGAAGUCCCGCCUGGUGCGGGAGCUCGGCUGUUACCCGAGCUGUGCGAGGUUCGAGUCCUCGUCCCGGCG
rnacentral:tRNA from 1 species